AUGGCAGUGCCCAGCUUCUCCUGUGAUCUGAGCAGAAAAGCUGUGACUGAAUUGUUCCUGUCCUGCAGGAACAGCCCUGGGAAAAACCAGGGCAGCAGUUGGUGUGGGGAGGGAAAGGGGCAGCCCUGCCCUCCCUGGCAGCUGUGACUGCUGCAGCCUCAGGUGUUUCUCUAAGUAGUGGAAGGUUUAACAAGACCUGUGCUUAGCACAGUUUGUGUCCUGGAAGGGUCCUGGUGCCCAUUUUGAACAUUCUUUGUGCUUUCUUAAGUAACACUGUUCUCUCUGCCCUUCCCUGUGUUCUCCCCCUGUUCCAGAAAUCGCCGCACGGGGUGGUUGUGGCCAACCCACGGAUAUUCCCAGGGGACAGGAUUUUAGAGACUGGAGAGAUCAUGCCACCUCUGAAAGAUGAGCACCACAGGCACCACUGAUGGCCAGGAGCUGGUUUCCUCUGUGGGGGAACAUGGCCAGAGCUGCACCUGCUGUGUCUGUUCCAUAAAAGAGUGUUCAUCGUG